rnacentral:rRNA from 1 species
UACAGAGGUCUCAAGCGUUGUUCGGAUUCAUUGGGCGUAAAGGGUGCGUAGGUGGCGCCGUAAGUCGGGUGUGAAAUUUCGGAGCUUAACUCCGAAACUGCAUUCGAUACUGCGGUGCUUGAGGACUGGAGAGGAGACUGGAAUUCAUGGUGUAGCAGUGAAAUGCGUAGAGAUCCGGAGGAACACCAGUGGCGAAGGCGACACGCUGGGCCGUACCUGACACUGAACCGCGACAGCAUGGGGAGCAAACAGG